rnacentral:rRNA from 1 species
CGGAGGAUCCAAGCGUUAUCCGGAAUCAUUGGGUUUAAAGGGUCCGUAGGCGGGGUUAUAAGUCAGUGGUGAAAGCCCAUCGCUCAACGAUGGAACGGCCAUUGAUACUGUAGAUCUUGAAUUAUUAGGAAGUAACUAGAAUAUGUAGUGUAGCGGUGAAAUGCUUAGAGAUUACAUGGAAAACCAAUUGCGAAGGCAGGUUACUACUAAUGGAUUGACGCUGAUGGACGAAAGCGUGGGUAGCGAACAGGAUUAGAUACCCUGGUAGUCCACGCCGUAAACGAUGGAUACUAGCUGUUCGGAGCAAUCUGAGUGGCUAAGCGAAAGUGAUAAGUAUCCCACCUGGGGAGUACGUUCGCAAGAAUG